GCCCCGAGCACGCCCCUCACUCCGCACCGGCCAAUGGCACCGCCCCGUCCGCCCCGCUCUGGGAACGCCGCUCCAGCAGAUGUGACAUAGACUGGAAGUGAUGGACCCAGACAACAAUCAGAACCAAAGCACCAGAUGAGCCACCUCAGCCACGUGAGCCAUGCCAGCCACCCUACCUGUGACCCCAUCUGUGGCCCCAGUUAUCAUGGAGUAGAGCCCUUUCUCUGUCUACAAAACCAACUUCCUCGCCCAGCUCAUGGGAACACUUAUUCUGUUGUAUAGAAUGAAGUGUUGCUUGAUUCUAGAAUCCUUUGUCCCAGGAAUGGGGUCUGUAAUUCAGGGACCUGUAGAAGUUCACAGUGUGAGAGGAAUGAAGUGUCCAAUCUGCAAUCUGAAUCUUCCCUAUGAAAUUUCCACCUGGUGCCCUCCAGCGCAGAUUCUCGCACCCACAGUCCUGCCUUACAGGGCAGACCAUUUCCUCUCUGACAGUACUACCUGUCUGAAUGUUCUGCUUCAAACUGAGUCAAGAUAUGUGAACCCUGGGUAGAAGAAUUAUCAGGUCUGGAGGGAGCACAAGCAAACUAUCCCAUUUUAUGGACGUGGAAACCGAGGCCUGAGGGAGAGACGCACCAGGAAUCAGGAGAUCUGGCUCUGAUCAGCUGUACAAAUUGAGAAUUGUGACCUGACCUUGUCCAACCCAAGUGGCCCAACUCCUAAUUCUGUGAGUGACAUGUCUCUGUUACUUUGGAAUAUUGAUUGAAGAAAGAAAGAGCAAGAGCAGGCAGGAGGGCAAGACGACAGCAAGAGAACAAGAAAGAAACCUGAAGAAAAGAAGUUUUAGUGAAGAUGGAAAGGCUUAAAACAUACCAUGGAGAAUGACCUCAGCCUUCUGUGUGGAGGAUUUGCACUUGGAGAUAAGGAAAGAGAGGGACUUCAGAGAGUUAAGCAGUUCAGUUUCCUUUGCAUUUCUUACAUCUGAGCAGGUGACCGGAGUGAACACUCUGGAAGCCACAGUGGAGUCCUCUGCUUGGGGCCUCUUUCUGGAAACCAGAUCAAUUCACUGAAAAACAAUUUGCAAAUGACUAGUUCAUUGAGAAGCAAGUGACCAAAACUCUAAGUCACCGAAUGACCUGCUCAUUGAUUUAUUGAAGAUUUUAUUCCAAGGUCUACUUCCCUCUGCAUUUGUGGCUGCCAUUUCAUAUGUGAAUGGGUGGGCAGUUUGCUGUCAUGCCCUUUUUGUGCAUCUCUAUCCUGACCCUGUAUGUGGUGCUGCCUUUUCCCAGGCCCCCUGCCCCUGCCCUGGCCUCUGUCUGCAAAGCAGUUGCAGCAACCUCCCUCUUGCUGUUGAAGAUACUCAUCUGAUGUCUAUUGUGAAUUGGCUGGAGCCCUUCUACAGGUUUGUUAGCGUCCCUCUGCAUCCAGGCUGAUGGUGCCUGCCAUGCUUCUACAUGCUGUUCUCUGCCACCCACCUGAGCCCAGCUAGAGUCAGUGGGGAAGUGGAGGAGCCACAUCAAAACAGUGUGUCCACCUCAGUCACCCUCCAGUGUGCAUUGACGACCAGGCAGCCAUUAGACCCAAAUGCAGCCCCACAGCAUAGAGGCAAAUGGAAAGGCCACAUAUCCUCUUUUCAUUCUCCUUCCAUGUGAGGCCCUGCAGAGCCUGGCAUCUGUCUUCAUCAUCGUGGCAUCCUCAGACUCUUUCUUCUUCCUGGAGCGAGCUGUGCUCUCUGAAGCCACUGCCUGUGUGGGAAGUACCCCAGCAUUUCUUCGCUGUUGCCAGGCAUCCCUUCCUGUCCUACCACUUCAAAUGCAUCUUUUCAUGUGUCCUUCCUGAGCACCUCUAGCAGCUGCAUGUUCCUGUUUCAGCCUCUGCCUUUCCACAGCUCCUCCAAGAUUCCUCUAUUGCAGAGCACAGCACCACCUUGCAGGAAACCUCCCAGAGGACUGUGAGGACCAUGAAGCAAGGGGCUGCAUCUUAUUCUCCUUGGUGUCUGGCCCAGCAGUGGGCCCAGGCCAGAUGCCAUUAAGAACAUUCAUGAUUCAUGAGAGGAGAUCAAAAUAUCAACAUAAACAGGAGUUUGAAAGAAGUUGAUUUCAACCCUUGUGGAUGACUAUGAGAGAUUCAAGGCUUCAGUGGAGAAUGCACCUACAGAUAUGGUGGAAACAGCAAAAGAAAUAGAAUCAGAAGUGGAGCCUGAAGAUUAAACUGAAUUGCUGCAAUCUCAUGAUAAAACUUGAACAGAUGAGGAGUUGCUUCUUACAGGUAUCCACACUGCCUCUGCUACCUGCCCGUUGGUCACUCACUCAUUGUUCUGAUGAUAAGAUCGACAGAUCACAAGAAGGACUGUGGCUUGAAGUUCCAGAGCAGAGAUGCACAUUACUGUCUACCGCUGAAGUGAACUGCUGCCCCUCUGGAGUCUGGAUAUCAUCAGAAUGAAAAAGGACAAGGCUCAUCCCAGGAGGAUCCAUGAUGCUUUAUGAAGACAGUCCCAACAGCCCAUCUCUGUCAUCCUCCAGACGUGCCAAGGCUGAAUCAUGGAGCAAACACAGCACAGGCUCAAGCUGAGACCCUGCCAUGUGACCUCCUAGUUCUAUGAAAUACCCUUCAACAAUGCAGAAUUGACAAACCCUCCCAGAACCUGAUAUAGAUACACAUAUUUAUUAUAUAAGUGUCUCAGUAAAGAAACAAUUUUCUGUAGUGCUUAGUAGCAGACUUCUGACUCCAUAAGAUGUUUCUAAGUAAAGGUUUCUUGGUCAAGGAAUUUGGAAAAUGCUCAUAGUGUAUAUGAUUCUAGGAGACUUUGGAAACACAUUAGUGCAUUCGGAAGCCCUGCAGUAGUCUGCCGCAUGACUUAUUCCAGCUUAUCCCUACAUUAUGGAAUGCUUUUGUCACUGAAUACCUUCAGAACGCAUUUUGGGAAAACUUUUAUAUAUUCGUGGCAACCCUGGAGAAAAAACUUAGAGGUAAAGUUCCCUCUCCGAGAGGCCAUAAUAAAUGUGAAAGUGUGGAAAAGAGCCCUCAUCCUCCACCUCCAAGGCUGGUGUUCUUGCCAGGAUACCAUCCUAUCAGUUCUUUCUAAAACUCUCCUGUCCCCAGUGCAAAUACUCUCAUCAUGACAAUGCCUCACUUCAGCAGGCCUUCUCAUGGAGCUGCAGGAGUUCUUUGCAAAGUCCCCCAGCCCUGGUCUAGGAAUUGGGAGUUGCCUCACAGAUGCUUUAUUGUUAUUACUGGUUACAUGUGUGAUAUGUAGCAUACAUAUCAACUACACCUUUAACCAAUAACUUUUACUUAUUUUUUAUUUGGAGAAUGAUAUAUGCUCAUUAAAGAAAAAUUGGGGAAAAAGUUGGUAAAUAAUGAAGAAGAAAAAUUCACUUCAACCUAGAAAUAGCCCAGUGAACAUGCUGGUGUCAAGGGUGUACAUACACAUAUACAUGUUUGCAUGUUUUGGGAACAAUUUGAAACAAUAUGCAUGUUUGUUACAGUUUUGGAACUGUAACAAAAAUGCACAGUUAUAGUUAUUUAUCAUGACCUUCCUGUUUUUCUUGCCAUGAUAGGUUGUGAAGAUGUUUACAUAUCAUUAAACACUCUUUGGGAUCAUACUUUUUUUUUUUUUUUUUGAGAUGGAGUCUCGCUCUGUCACCCAGGCUGGAGUGCAGUGGCGCGAUCUCAGCUCGCUGCAAACUCCGCCUCCCGGAUUCACGCCAUUCGCCUGCCUCAGCCUCCUGAGUAGCUGGGACUACAGGUGCCCACCACCACGCCCGGCUAAUUUUUUGUAUUUUUAGUAGAGAUGGGGUUUUGCUGUGUUAGCCAGGAUGGUCUUGAUCUCCUGACCUCGUAAUCCUCCCGCCUCGGCCUCCUAAGGUGCUGGGAUUACAGGCGUGAGCCACCGCGCCCAGCCGGGAUCAUACUUUUAAUGGCUGCACAAUGCUGCCUUGUAUGAACGUGUGAUGUUUCACUCAGCCAUUGGUGGUAGAGUCAAUGCCACAGGUUCUCCAUACCAUUUCCUCUCUCUGAGCACUUGGUAAGCCUUCAUUUCCAAAUCUCCCCUGCAGUUUUGAGUUCUGGACAAUGGUUGUGGACAGAAGUUAUGGAUGCCACUUCUGUGCCUGGAGUAUCUGUCCCCUCAUCAGCAACUGUUGGUGACAGAACCACAGAUUGGGAGCAGCCUGGAUCUAAAGAAUCACUGCUUGGGAGAACUCUGCUUAGACAUGUCCAGACUACAUCAGACAUUAAGUGAGAAAUGAACCUUUGUGUGCUGAGUACCGAAAUUUCGACGUUUACUUGUUACUGCUGGAUUGCUUAGCAUACACUAACAUGUCAUCACUCUAGUUACAUCUUUGGGUUUGUUUUCAAUUUAUAUUUUAAAAAUAGAGCUUCAGUACACAUAUUAA
ensembl:lncRNA TMEM72-AS1 TMEM72 antisense RNA 1